rnacentral:SRP_RNA from 2 species
GCUGGGCAUGGUGGUGUGUACCAGUAGUCCCAGCUACUUGGGAGGCUGAGGCAGGGGGAUCACUUGAGGCCAGGAGUUCAAGGCUGCAGUGAGCCAUGAUUGUGCCACUGCACUCUAGCCUGGGCAACAGAGUAAGAUCCUGUCUCUA